AUGUCGCGGACAACGUGCAGCUGCCCCAACAAGAAGUGUUUCCAAGGCAUUUGUGACUGUUUAAUAAGGAAUGCGGUAUGCUGUUCGGGAUGCAACUGCGGUGGUGACUGCCAGAACGACUUAUCUCUUGGAACAAUCAACCCGGCUGCUGCCCAAGGUACCACCCCAACGCUUGCCUCGGGCUCUUCUGCUAACCAAUCUGCCGCUGCCCAAGCUGCUGCUGACCAAUCUGCCGCUGCCCAAGCUGCCGCUCAACCACAACCUAAACCAUUGCCAGCACAAGAACCAGAGUCCAAGGGUGAAGCCAGGAAUACCUCCCCAUCAGCAGUCAAAAUGAAGUUCAUCGACCAGGGGUGCAGCUGCAGGACGAUCGGAUGUAACCACCACCGUUGUCCUUGCUUCACGCGCAAUGUCAGGUGCACCUCAAAUUGCAAGUGCCCAGCCACAAUCUGUGUUAAUCCCGUUGGGGCCAAAGGGGAUGAGUCCAACACUCAACCAGGAGGGCAGCAAGGUACCAGUGGCACACCUGACGAAGCAGUGUUGGAGCAAGAGUCACAGAUUGUGCAGCCAAGAGAUACCUUGUCAUUGGUGUCCACAAUGUCGGAGAGGACGUGUGGCUGCACCAACAGUGAUUGCUUCCAAAGCUGCGUUUGCUACACGACGAAUGUGAUAUGCUCUCCGGACUGCAAGUGCCAUGGUCACUGUCUGCACAACGUAGUUAAGAGGUGGUCUGCUGCCCAAGGUACCACUCCAACGCUUGCAUCAGGCUCUUCUACUGCCCAAGGCAUCUCUCAGACACGACCACUUGUCCUGAUCUCUUCUGCUGCCCAAGCUGCCGCUCAAACGCUUCCCUCGAGCUCUGUUGUGGCGGCGCUCGUGCCGGAUACGAAGACUAAGGCACUGCCAGCAUGA
rnacentral:rRNA from 1 species